rnacentral:lncRNA from 1 species
CAUUCCUGCGUCCCACGCACUCCGGGUGCCAUGCCUCCCAAAUGCACUCAACUCCCCACAGAAAAGGGAACCCAUCCUUCUGCCGCAUAAAGUAAAUUCAGAGCCAGGACAUUACCACCCUCUAGAUGUUUGCAAAGGAACCUGGGGGGUGGUACAGGUAGCUCUGUUGUUUUUUUGUUUUUGUUUUUGUUUUUGUUUUUUCAAGGAUUCUCGGCCUUUGGACACCAGGUCUACCACCUGCAGUCCUGAGAUCACAGCAACCUGCCCUGCACCAAGUGUGCAAAAUAGGAACAUUGGAAGACCGCAUACAGCUUCAGAAAUCUACGCUGUCAGAGGAUAAAAGUUACCUGGGUUUACAGAAGUCUUCUCCUAGGCGUGCCUAGGUUACAGCCUGCAAUCACUUGUGUGUGCCACCAUGCCUGGUUUUUUAACAUGUGAUCUAGAUAUAAAACUCAGAUCAUCAUGCCUGCAUGCUAGGUCCUUUACUGAUGAACCUAGGCAUGAAAAACCAGCAGGAGAGGGGCUGGAGAGAUGGCUCAACAGUACCCAGAUAUUCUGCCAAGGUCCUGAGUUCUAUUCCUAGCAACCAAAUGGUGGCUUACAACCGUCUAUAAUGGGAUCUAAUGCCCUGUUCUGGCAUGCACCCUAUUAUACACACAGAACUCAUACAUUUAUAAAAGAAAAAAAAAAGCAGAAAAGCACUACCUAGAAUCCUCCAGUGAGGGGCUGGGUUGUGGCUCAGUGGUAGAGCCCCUGACUAGAAUCCUCCAGUGAGGGGCUGGGUUGUGGCUCAGUGGUAGAGCCCCUGCCUAGAAUCCCCCAGUGAGGGGCUGGGGGCGUGGCUCAGUGGUAGAGCCCCUGCCCAGAGUCCCCCAGUAAGAGGCUGGGGUGUGGCUUAUUGGUAGAGCCCCUGCCCAGAGUCCCCCAGUGAGGAGCUGGGGUGCAGACAGCAGUAGGAUGCUUGCUCAGCAUGUUAGUUCCUGGGUUUGAUCCAGAGUGCUGCAAGAGGCUCCUCCUUUCUGGUUAAUUUACAAUGGCGGCAGGGAACCAAGUAGAACCUGAAGACACACUAGUGACCAAUUACUGAUAACUAAGUUUAGUGACAAACAUGGAUUCUCUGUUUGGGGGAAGCAGACAAGGGGCCAGUCUCAAUGAGAGAAAUAAAUCAUGACUUUGGGUCCAUAAGCAGGUCUAGGGCCCAACCUGGAAAUUAUUUUUAGAGGACUCUUCAUGUGUGGGGUGGCUAAUGAUCCUGAAGGCCUUCGCUCAGCCACUCAGCCAUUUUUUUUUAUUGCCAAAGCCACCCAAAACUAGUCCUCCUCAGAGUCAGGAUUUGAGACAGUGCUGUCAUAGGACCUUGGCUAUGUGGAACAGGUGAGCUUAGGGAGGGGGCUUUGACCUGGGAGGAUGCUGUGGGCUGGAGAGCUGGCUCAGCAGGAAAGAGCUCUUAACUCUACAAGCAUGAAGACCUGAGUUCAAAUCCCCAGAUUCCCACAUUAAGUCAGACAUGUUCCUGCACUUGCUUCUAGUCACAGUCCUGUGAAGAGCGGAGACAGGAGGAUUAUUGUGGUGGUUUGAAUAAGGUAUCCUCAUAGCCUUGGGCGUUUAGAUACUUGGUCUCCAGCUGGUGGCACUGUCUGGGAGGUGUGGCCUUGCUGAAGGAACUACAUCCCUGUGGGCAGGCUAUAGAGGUUUCCAAGACUCAAUUUCCCAGUUCACUGAGUCUACCUCUUUCUUGGGCUUUGAGAUGUGAGCUCUCGCUGUUCCUGCUGCCCUGGCUACUGCCUGUUGCCAUGAUUCCUGUCAUCAUAGAGUCUUAUCCCUCUGGAACCAUAAGCCCAAAUAAACCCUCCUCUGUAGGCUGCUUUGGUUGAGAUGUCUUAUCACAGCAAUAGAAAGUAACCAGUCAGAUCACCACGGCUUGCUGGCCGAUAGCCUGGCCCCAGAGAAUGAUGGAAUGGGUCACCCAAAGUCCCCUUGCCUCUGUGGAUGACAGACACAUGUGCAUAUACUACACACACACACUCACACACACACACACAAGGGGGUGUCAUGAUAAAGGUUCAGAGAAGCCACCCAGGGCCCCACUGCUCUGCUACAAAAAGACAACAAACAAACAAACAAAGAAUCCAACUGCUUUUCCUGUCUCUUCUCAGGCCUUCUGAGGCUCAUCCCAGGGCCUCUUACCUGCUUCCUGUACUGUGGAGGCCAUGGCUAGUCCCCGUAAGACGCCCAGAAGUGGCCAGAGAGAGCCUGAGGUUGGGCCAGGAAGAGCCCCUUUAUGGUCCAGCAGCAGCAGACAGGCAGUAGCCGACAUGAAGCAGUGACCCAAAAGGCCAUUGAGGAAGAGUCAUAUCACUGAGAAUGCGGGAUCCCAGCCCACAGGAUGUUGUCACCUGCAUCCCACCUUGGUCUUCCUCUUUAACCUUUCUGGAAAUACCCUCCUAGUAGCAGCCAAAGGAGUGUUUCCAUGGAGAUUCUAAUCCCAUCUAAUUGAGCAUCAAAGGACCAGUGAGAUGGCUCAGUGUACCCACUUGCUACCAAGCCUGAUGACCUGGGUUCAAUCGCUGGGACCCAGUGGUGGAAAGAGACUACCAACUGCGGAAGCUGUCCUGUGGUGUCUCCCCCGACCCCCACAUGCAAAUUCUUAAUUAAUAUAAUUUUAUUUAUGUAUUAUCUAUUUAUGAAUUAAUUUUCUUUAUUUAUGUUUUAUAGAUAAACUAUUUAUAAAUUAAUUAUAAACUAAUUAUUUAUAAACUAGUUAUAAAUU